rnacentral:rRNA from 1 species
CCUACGGGAGGCAGCAGUGGGGAAUCUUGCGCAAUGGGCGAAAGCCUGACGCAGCCAUGCCGCGUGGAUGAUGAAGGUCUUAGGAUUGUAAAAUCCUUUCACCGGUGAAGAUAAUGACUGUAGCCGGAGAAGAAGCCCCGGCUAACUUCGUGCCAGCAGCCGCGGUAAUACGAAGGGGGCUAGCGUUGCUCGGAAUUACUGGGCGUAAAGGGAGCGUAGGCGGACAUUUAAGUCAGGGGUGAAAUCCCAGAGCUCAACUCUGGAACUGCCUUUGAUACUGGGUGUCUUGAGUGUGAGAGAGGUAUGUGGAACUCCGAGUGUAGAGGUGAAAUUCGUAGAUAUUCGGAAGAACACCAGUGGCGAAGGCGACAUACUGGCUCAUUACUGACGCUGAGGCUCGAAAGCGUGGGGAGCAAACAGGAUUAGAUACCCUGGUAGUCCACGCCGUAAACGAUGAUUGCUAGUUGUCGGGAAGCUUGCUUUUCGGUGACGCAGCUAACGCAUUAAGCAAUCCGCCUGGGGAGUACGGUCGCAAGAUUAAAACUCAAAGGAAUUGACGG